rnacentral:rRNA from 1 species
AUUGAACGCUGGCGGCAGGCCUAACACAUGCAAGUCGAACGAGUGGCGGACGGGUGAGUAAUGUCUGGGCAACUGCCUGAUGGAGGGGGAUAACUACUGGAAACGGUAGCUAAUACCGCAUACCAUCGGAUGUGCACAAAUGGGAUUAGGUAGUAGGGGGGGUAAAGGCUGACCUAGGCGACGAUCCCUAGCUGGUCAGAGAGGAUGACCAGCCACACUGGAACUGAGACACGGUCCAGACUCCUACGGGAGGCAGCAGUGGGGAAUCUUCGACAAUGGGGGCAAGCCUGAUGGAGCCAUGCCGCGUGAAUGAAGAAGGCUUUCGGGUUGUAAAGUACUGUCAGCGGGGAGGCGUUACCCGCAGAAGAAGCACCGGCUAACUCCGUGCCAGCAGCCGCGGUAAUAC